rnacentral:rRNA from 1 species
AUGAUCAAGGGAGACCAGCGGCAGCUUGGAGCUCAUGAAGAGCGGUUGAAAGAUCAGAUGAGAGAUGAUCAUCGGGCCUCAGAUGGCAAUUUUUUCAAGUUCUUGCAAAACCAGUCAAGCACAGAAAAAGAGGCUCAAGAAGACAAGAUUGCGUCCACAAGGGCAGAGAUGGGCGAAGUGAGAAAAGAGAACGAGAGGCUGAAGAUGAUGCUAUCACGGAUGGUGGAGGACCAUCGCUCCCUUCAGAAGCAAUUCGACGUUCUCCACCAGCAAGGGCGAGGCAAGAACCUCGCCGUUGGCUCACCGGAUCAUACAUCACUGGUCGACGGCCCUGGGUUCGUCUCUUUGCGCCUUGGAACGAGCGCCGUCAUGAGCAGGCAGAACAUGGGAGAAGAGAUCAAGGACAGCACUAAUAAUCCAGAUGACAAGGGCAUCUUUCUUGGACUUUCAUCAGCCUGCGGAGCUGUUGGUGCAAGAACUGAUGGAAGUGAGACGAAGGUGCGGCCAGAUGUGGUGACAUUGAGCCCUCGAGGCAGCUCCGAGGGGGAGGCCGCGGAGACGACAACGUCAGCCGCAGCAAGCAAGAUGGCGAAGAACCCGAGAAUCACCGUCAGCGGCGCGGAGACGGAGGAGGAGGUGGCCCGGCAGCCACUGGCCAAGAAGGCCAGGGUGUCGGUGAGGGCAAGGUGUGACACACCAACGAUGAACGAUGGUUGCUAG